rnacentral:rRNA from 1 species
AGAGCGAACGCUGGCGGCAGGCCUAAUACAUGCAAGUCGAACGGACCCUUCGGGGUUAGUGGCGGACGGGUGAGUAACACGUGGGAACGUGCCCUUUGGUUCGGAACAACUCAGGGAAACUUGAGCUAAUACCGGAUGUGCCCUUCGGGGGAAAGAUUUAUCGCCAUUGGAGCGGCCCGCGUCUGAUUAGCUAGUUGGUGGGGUAAAGGCCCACCAAGGCUACGAUCAGUAGCUGGUCUGAGAGGAUGAUCAGCCACACUGGGACUGAGACACGGCCCAGACUCCUACGGGAGGCAGCAGUAGGGAAUCUUGCGCAAUGGGCGAAAGCCUGACGCAGCCAUGCCGCGUGAAUGAUGAAGGUCUUAGGAUUGUAAAAUUCUUUCAGCGGGGACGAUAAUGACGGUACCCGCAGAAGAAGCCCCGGCUAACUCGUGCCAGCAGCCGC